rnacentral:tRNA from 2 species
GGGUCGUUAGCUCAGCCGGUAGAGCAGCGGACUUUUAAUCCGUUGGUCCGGGGUUCAAGUCCCCGACGACCCACCA